rnacentral:ncRNA from 1 species
GAGAGCACAGUACGAUGAAAGUUGUAAGCUGUGUUCGGGGGGGAGUUAUUGUCUAACAUUGGCCUCUAUGGUAGAACCCGUCGGGGAGGCCUGAGAGGCGGUGGUUUGCCCUGU